GCGGAUGUGGUGGAAUCGGCAGACACGCUAUCUUGAGGGGGUAGUGAGCUACGCUCGUAUGGGUUCAAGUCCCGUCAUCCGCACCA
rnacentral:tRNA from 2 species